UCUUCCCAUGAAAAUAUAUGCUUUCUAAUAUUCUCAACCACAUGUCUCUCUUUUUGUCUGCACAAAACACGUGUGCUUGACGUAUGUACAUAUCUAAAAGAAGAUGAUACUGGACUAUUCUCUCUCACGACAAGAGCCGACGAAUGUUCAGGAAGAUGAUUGUUACAUAGUUUUCUUUCGUGAAUAAAGUUGAGGGCUUCCUCAAACGAAGAAGAUUCUGAUUGACGAUUGCAAAUCAUGAAUUAAGAAAAACAACAAUCCAAGAAAGGAAAUAAAAACAACUCCCAAAUCUGCUGCAUUGAUUGAUUCUGAUUGAAGAAAAGAAAGGAAAGAGAGACCACACUCAAUCGUUGGAGAUUGACAUCACUGCUGAUUGAAGAUUGAAGAUUGAAGAUUGAAGAUUGAAGAUGGAAGAUGGAAGAUGGAAGAUGGAAGAUGGAAGAUGGAAGAUGGAAGAUGGAAGAUGGAAGAUGGAAGAUGGAAGAGAUGGAAGAUUGACCAUCAACAAAUGGAAGAUCAAAUUAGAAGCCGCUAUAUAAGGCGGGAAGCUGAUUGUAGAUCAAACCAAUCAGGAAAGAAGACCUCUGUACAAGGCAAAGCCUUCGCACGAACAUAUUUGAUAUGGACGUGCAUCAUCAAUCAAGGAAUCCCUACAAAUCCUUAAUUGAUAAAAAUCCCUUGGAUUUUCCUUUUAGAGCAGAUAUGAUCGUCUUACCUUCAAUCAUAUAUAAAGUCAUCCUCAUCUAGUUAGAGAGUUACGAAAACUUCACUUGAAAUUAUUUAGCGUUUUCUCUCAUCUUUCAUAAAAGCUUUGUUCUCAGUUAAGUUUACAAUUGUAAUAGAAAAGAAAAAAAUUAUUUCUAGCAUAGGUUAUACAAGUAGAGGUAACGUCAAGUCAAAAAAGUCUGAUUUGCACAUCAGACGUGUUCAUUUCUAUUCUACACUAUACCCAUCAAAUUACUUCAACCUUUAAAGGAAAUCCUUGUAACCCAAAAGGAUUGGAUUUGGCACUACAUCGGUGAUCCGAAUCAAGAUAAAUUUAUGUCUUCUUUCUAUU